UUACCGAUGUGGGACUUUGUGAUUUUGAGUUUUGUAGAGAUACUACUUUCACAUAACGUGGCAACUGGCAAGUGAUAUCAAUUCAGUAGUCAAAUUAAUAAUUUGAAUAUAUUUAAGUUCUUUAUUUUUUUUCCACCAAAAUCUAUUUAUUGGUGGUCACUAUAUUUAGGUUCAUAUAUUUUUUUUUAACGUGGAUGUCAUUUAGUUAUUAUUAGUGACCGUUCAAAUCUGAUACUUUGUUCUUUUUCGUCCAUAUAUUUAAGUUUCAAAUAAGUUUUUUAAACUAACAAACUGUUUUCAUAUUAAUAAUAGAUGAUAUUAGUCA
rnacentral:lncRNA from 1 species